AGAAAUAUAUUGAAUAUAUGAUUAAUUAUUAGUUACUUGUUUUCUUUGACUAGUUUAGCAAGCUGUCUGUUUUUUGAAUUAUAAAAUCUGCUGUUUUAACUUUAUUGAUACAAGAUAUUAAUUCAAGCUCAUUUUUGUUUAAGACCUGAUUAAGAACUAAUACAAAAUGGAUUUCAAUACAAUAUCAAAAAUAUGGCACACUAAUUAGAAUUGCAAGAGUAAUUUGAGUUUUCCUACAUUUUAUGUUUUUUUGCCUGUUUUGCUUUUCCUGUUUUUCUGCUGCUUCAUGUUUUUGUUCAGGCAGUCAGUGAAGGUGUAGCACUGUGAUUAUGGGUUUGACUACUGGGGAGAUGGAACUACAGUUACUGUUGAGCCAGAGGGUUCCUCUGUGGCUCCCUCCCUGUCCGUCCUGAGUCCCCUGCAGAGUCCUGGCUACCCCCUGAAGACAGCAGACGAGCUCGGUCCAAAUGUCUGUCUGGUCAUAGAUUUCCGUCCGAAGGGGGACGACGUGGUUCUGAAUGUGAAAGGUGGUCCGGUCAACGUGAGCACUGAUGAUGCUGUUCUGUCAAAGAACAACACCUACUACUUUGCUACAUUCAUGAACGAAACCAUCUACUCCUGCGGGAUGAACGGGAUGAUCGGCAACAAUGAAGCUGAUGAUGCAUGUGGGAACAUUUAUCCAGAAAAAGCCAAGCUGAACUUCUACCUGCUGCUGAUGAACGGAGUCCGAGUGGUGUUCACCAAAGCUCUGGCCUUCAGCACCGUCCUCACCAUCAGAGGCCUGAUCUUCUGACACUGAGCCUUAAAGGCCACGUUACAGGCAGUCAGCAAAUUCUUUCUAUUUUUAUUAUAAGAAAAAGCACCAAUCAUUUUAGAAAAUAUUAACAAGAAGGAAACUAACUUUAUAGACUAAAACAUUUGCUGUGAGCUAUUUGUCUUUUAUUUGUCUCUCAUUGUCGACCAAUGGUCAAAAUAAAACAUGAAAUAAAACUAAACCAUAGAGAAUCAAAAUCCACAUACUGAAUAGAAACACAGUAAUAUUAUAAUUUUACUUAAUUUUACAAAUUCCUAGUUGAUGAGGCGAAAUCACUUAAAACAAAAAAAAGAAAAAUGUCAAAACCAAUAGUAAUACAUUGUUCUUCUUCUCUUUUUUGGAUUCAGAAAGUGCAUCACUGUUUUGAUAAUUGAGGUCAGUAAUAUAAAAAUGAAUUACUAAAAAAAAGUAAUUAUUAAUUGUAGGUUCAUGUUCUUACAUUUUGCUACGGUGUGUGUUAGAUAAAAUAUUGUUCAUGUUGGAGGGAAAAUGUUCUUUAGAGCUUCUUCAAUUUAUUUUAAGUUUUAUUUUCUAUAAAUUAAAUAUCAAAACAGUGUGUGUUACAUAUCUCUGUUUUAUUUGAACAAACUUGUUCUUUCCUUAAUCCUUUAAACCUCUUUACCUUUCUCAUUUAACGUCUGUUGGAAGGCUUUUUCAGUCAACUAUAGUUGCAUAACCCCUACAUCUAGCCCCCUAUUCAGGGUAUUUCCAGUAAUAACUAAAUGUGUCAAUAAUAAACUUGAUGAUGCAGAAACUUCACUGAAAGAUAAA